GAAGAUGAAAGUGAGUGAAAACUAAGGUUGCUUCAUCCCUACCUUUACAAAUACAGACAGCUAUUUUUGUGCAUCCAUGUUUUUUUGCUUGGAAGUCAUAGAGUGGAGGGA
rnacentral:lncRNA from 1 species